rnacentral:lncRNA from 1 species
GGGGAUUCUCUCGCACACAGUCUCUCUCUCUCUCUCUUUGGGGGGUUUCGCGCAGGGACGAUCUCUCUCUCUCUACCCGGGAGUUUUCUCUCGCUCUCUGAAAAAAAAGCUCUCGGCGUCUGCGGACUCUCAGGAGCUCUGUUUUUUUUUCGUUUCCCUCUCCUUCGUCUCUUUAGAGGGAAAAAAUUGGGAAAAUCGGGAGGGAGAAGCCUCCUCCUUCCGCUCACUCUCUCUUCCUGACCUAGCUAGGGCUUCCGGCUCAGCUCGAGCUCCGCGUCCAUUGCUCGCUUCCGGCGCCGGCGCAACUGAAAUCGCUCCGGCUUUCUCCGGCAGGGGGACGGCCUUCUCCGGCUGCCCGGUCCUCGGGGUUUUGUAUUCCUUUCGGCCUCCGAGCACGGCGAUUCUGGCGAUUCGAGCGCGCGUCGACUCAGCGAAAACGGUGGCGGUUACAGCGAGGAGGACGACACCAGCGGUUCUGGUUUCGCUCUCGCUCUAGCGAUUCUCACUCAGGGGAUCCCUCUCUUUCUCUCAAUCACUCUCUCUCUGGCUCUGGGGAUUUGGUUCUUUCUCGGAGAUCAGACGCUUGCUCUCUGAAAAACUCGAUCGGAGGUUGGUUCGCUCGAUCGAAGGGGGUUUUCUUUCGAUUCUGGCUCUCUCUCUCUGGAGCUCGAUCGGUGAUUCUCUCGACCGGGGAUUCUCUCGCCGGAUCUGACUGGCCGGAUCGACGUCUCUCCCUCUCGAUCGCUCUCUCGCGCACCGGAUCUGACUCGCUGAGACGGCCGGUCGAGGAGCUCGAAGUGCAGGGCUCAGAUUCGCAUCGACAGUAGAGAUGGCGACAGCGGCGACGACGACGGCACCACCUUUGCAGUUUCCUCCACAACCGACUUUGGCUCGGUCUUAGCUCUCAUGUGACAACUUCGGUAGCUUCUUUGAACUAAGGUUCGACCUCUGUAGUCACUGUUUCCUCAGUUUUCUCUAUUGGAAGUGUUGUGUUCACUUACUCAACCUGCGUGACAUGGUAUUUGUUGCACUAAGUUGCUUUCUGUUAUGAACAAUUACUAUGCAUAUAAAAGCUUGCUCGCCAAAUAUGUUUGAGUGACAGAAUCAAUUUGAUUGCUGAACAUGACCCAGUAGUGCUUAUUUACCAUUUGUCAUAUCACUUUUAAACAAGUUUCUCUAGACCGUCUACUAUCUUAAUUCUCAAGUGUUCGCUCAUCUGUCGAACGUGAAAAUUUUGGUUUGCAACUUGAGAUCUGUGUUGCUUGAGCUGAAAAGUGUAAUGUCCGGUUGGAUCUAGCACUCUAUUAUCUUUGCAAAAAAAAAACUGAUGGUCUUGAUAUGAUGUUACUAGCGUUGAAUUAACUCUUACUGAGUUCUUUUUUUUGUACUGAAUUCUUUGUGGGUUUAUGAAAACCUUCCUUUCUGGCUUUUUGUAUUGUAAUGUGGCUGUCAUUUUUCCUUAGCAUGUAUUGGCAUUUAGCACCAGUUUCUGGAAAUUCGUUCUGACUUGUGCUCUGUUUCAGAUGACCUUUUGCGCAAAUGACCUGAUACGAGCUAGUUGCUGUGGUUUUCUGUGUUUGAUGCCUUCAUGAGAUUUGAAGAUGGUUCGGCUAGCUUUCUAACGAGCUAUAAUACACCCUGAUCCGAUAUCAUUAGCCACAUGAAAUCUUCUUUAAAAGUUAGGAAGUAAUUCUGGAAAAUUGUUGUGUUCUGCUCUAAUGUGGAAAUUCGAAUGCCUAUUUUGACUGAUAUGCUUCGGUCCUCGAAAUGAGCUGGUAGAUGAUGUUAUUAGGACUUAAUAUCUUCUAGAGAUUUGUAAUAGACUUCUCAAGCUUUCCAUAGACAUAUUGUAUGUGCGAUUUGGCCAUCAUUUGCUCUGCCUGAUGCUUCUUGCAAAGAGCACUAAUCUGCUGAUGUGUUCUGCUUGUUAUGAUAUGAUCUGACGCUUUGCUUGAGCUAGAAAAAGACCUAAAUUGCAAUUGUCACCUAAUAGGAAUUCAUAAAAGACACCUUGAGCUUUCUAACGAUGCCUAGUAGUGCUGCUGAUGUGUUCUGCUUGUUAUGAUAUGAUCUGACGCUUUGCUUGAGCUAGAAAAAGACCUAAAUUGCAAUUGUCACCUAAUAGGAAUUCAUAAAAGACACCUUGAGCUUUCUAACGAUGCCUAGUUUGUUCAAUUUGCCCAUCAUUUGCCCUGCCUUUCCUUUUUUCAAAUUGAGCUUUGAAAUCUGGAAUUUGUGUUGAACUGCAAUGCUGUCUUUUCUGUGGCUAGUUGUUGUUAGUCUUAAGAUGAGAUAGUAGAUUUGUCCAAAUUGCUUUCAAUAUGUUGUAGAAUGACGGUGUGACAUGUUACUAUGCUCUAUUCUGGAUUGACUUGUUUUUUUUUAGAUUUUUAGAAAUUCAUGUGUUGAUAUGAUGAUAGUGUCUCUAUGAAAUUUAUUUGGGAUAUCACCUAGAAUUUGAUCCAAAGACCUUGUGACUUUAGUCACUCUUUUUGAAUAUAAAAAAUGUCUUGCUUUUGAUUGUUUUGAUGCGUUUGCUCGUCUCUUUUCAUUGUAUGCAUUUAGCUAGAAGUUUCCUAAGCUAGGUUUAGAUUAGGACCACGAAGAUGGAGAAAGGUGUAAGGCGUGAAGAUGGUGGAGGUCGAUGUCCACUCCGACUGUUAUCAUGUAAUGCUCAUUUUCCCGACAUAUGUCUCGGGUUUUAUGCAUUGUAUAAAGCUCGACGAGUUGCGGGUUUUCUUUCUUUCCUUUUUAAUUGUUUUUUUUUUUUAGGACUGCCUGAUAGGUUUAACUGAUUUUCUUGAUUGUUUACUUCAUGUUUUGUAAUUUCAA